rfam:Felis catus isolate Cinnamon breed Abyssinian chromosome X, whole genome shotgun sequence.
GCCUGGGUGGCUCAGUCAGUUGAGUGUCUGACUUUGGUUCAGGUCAUGAUCUCACAGCUCAUGGGUUCGAGCCCCACGUCGGGCU